rnacentral:rRNA from 1 species
AGUGAACGCUGGCGGUAGGCCUAACACAUGCAAGUCGAACGGCAGCACAGUAAGAGCUUGCUCUUACGGGUGGCGAGUGGCGGACGGGUGAGGAAUACAUCGGAAUCUACUUUUUCGUGGGGGAUAACGUAGGGAAACUUACGCUAAUACCGCAUACGACCUACGGGUGAUAGCAGGGGAUCUUCGGACCUUGCGCGAUUGAAUGAGCCGAUGUCGGAUUAGCUAGUUGGCGGGGUAAAGGCCCACCAAGGCGACGAUCCGUAGCUGGUCUGAGAGGAUGAUCAGCCACACUGGAACUGAGACACGGUCCAGACUCCUACGGGAGGCAGCAGUGGGGAAUAUUGGACAAUGGGCGCAAGCCUGAUCCAGCCAUACCGCGUGGGUGAAGAAGGCCUUCGGGUUGUAAAGCCCUUUUGUUGGGAAAGAAAAGCAGCAGGUUAAUACCCCGCUGUUCUGACGGUACCCAAAGAAUAAGCGCCGGCUAACUUCGUG